GACGAACGCUGGCGGCGUGCUUAACACAUGCAAGUCGAACGGAAAGGCCCUGCUUUUGUGGGGUGCUCGAGUGGCGAACGGGUGAGUAACACGUGAGUAACCUUCCCUUGACUUUGGGAUAACUUCAGGAAACUGGGGCUAAUACCGGAUAGGAGCUCCUGCUGCAUGGUGGGGGUUGGAAAGUUUCGGCGGUUGGGGAUGGACUCGCGGCUUAUCAGCUUGUUGGUGGGGUAGUGGCUUACCAAGGCUUUGACGGGUAGCCGGCCUGAGAGGGUGACCGGCCACAUUGGGACUGAGAUACGGCCCAGACUCCUACGGGAGGCAGCAGUGGGGAAUAUUGCACAAUGGGCGGAAGCCUGAUGCAGAAACGCCGCGUGCGGGAUGACGGCCUUCGGGUUGUAAACCGCUUUCGCCUGUGACGAAGCGUGAGUGACGGUAAUGGGUAAAGAAGCACCGGCUAACUACGUG
rnacentral:rRNA from 1 species